AUAGCCCCUACAGGAGUUAUAGAUGUGGCUGCUGUGUCCCUAUCUGUGUCAGCAGGUGAUACAGAGAAAAGGCAGACUUGUCCUGGCCCAAUGUUCUGAUUCAUGAAUUAAUAAUCUGAUCCUUGGAGCCACAGCAAUAGU
ensembl:snoRNA